rnacentral:rRNA from 1 species
UACAGAGGCCUCAAGCGUUGUUCGGACUCAUUGGGCGUAAAGGGUGCGUAGGCGGCGCGGUAAGUCGGGUGUGAAAUCUCGGAGCUUAACUCCGAAACUGCAUUCGAUACUGCCGUGCUUGAGGACUGGAGAGGAGACUGGAAUUUACGGUGUAGCGGUGAAAUGCGUAGAUAUCGUAAGGAAGACCAGUGGCGAAGGCGGCUCACUGGCCCGGUACUGACGCUGAGGUGCGAAAGCGUGGGGAGCAAACAGG